CCAUAUUGCAACAAAAUUGGAAUAAACUUGUCAAAUUUUUUUCUGCUUCUGUUAUAAUGAGAUUUUUUUUUUUUUGGUAAAGUGUUAUAAUGAGAUUUAUAUUUAGGAAAAUUCUAGGAUGAAGUCACAAAUUUCACUCCUUUAAAGAAGUUGCCACUAUGGCCAAUGAAAUGAUAAGUUGGACUGGUCCACUGCCACAUAAGAUUAUAUGGUACAUAAGGCUUACCAUACAUCUUCUUAUCAAUUUUCAUUGCAAUAAAGCCCCUAACAAAUUAAAACUUGCAAAAUUACCCCAACUUAAUAUUGUUUUAUUAAUUAUAAUUCACAUCAUUAUUCCCAAAUAAUCAAACCAAAUAAAACAAAAAGAAAUUACAAUAUCGUCAACUUCNNNNNNNNNNGUCUAGUAAUUAUUAGUGUCUCAGAAUAAUAAAAAUUCAGGGAAAUAAGUUGAUGAAAACAUAUUAUUAUUUAGAUAAAUCUAAUUAUGAAAGGGAAGGAAACAAAGUGCAGUUUUAUGAAAGCCCCCACACAUAGAAAAUAACUGCUUACAUUGUUCCUACACAGUAGAAACUUACUUAGUAGUUCAUUACUUGUCAAAAGAAAUUAAUUUUUCUAGUAAUUUUUUUUUUUAAAAUAAAAUUGGAACUGCAAAUUUGCUGGAGGUGUGGAUAUUAUUGGGCUUCCCACUAUGGUAACCAUCCCCCCAUGUAAUUACUCAUGCUUGGGCCUGCUGUAACCACUGACCCUGGAUCGGCCUGAUAACUGCGUUUAAUCACAAUUUCAUUUUAUUGAAAUCAAAAUAAAACAAAUCAAUAUCAAUACUAGUAUUAAAAUAACAACAAUUUACAUUAAAAUCUACCUUAUCUAUCAAUAAUAUUGCCUACAUUGCUUCAAAUGACUUAUGCUUAAUCUAAGUAAAAAAAAAACUGUACUUCAA
rnacentral:lncRNA from 1 species